rnacentral:rRNA from 1 species
UGGUCUUGACAUAGAAAGAACUUUCCAGAGAUGGAUUGGUGCCUGCUUGCAGGAGCUUUCAUACAGGUGCUGCACGGCUGUCGUCAGCUCGUGUCGUGAGAUGUUGGGUUAAGUCCCGCAACGAGCGCAACCCUCGUCGUUAGUUGCUAACAGUUCGGCUGAGAACUCUAACGAGACUGCCUACGCAAGUAGGAGGAAGGUGAGGACGACGUCAAGUCAUCAUGGCCCUUACGACCAGGGCUACACACGUGCUACAAUGGGGUAUACAAAGAGCAGCAAUACGGUGACGUGGAGCGAAUCUCAAAAAUGCCUCCCAGUUCGGAUUGUAGUCUGCAACUCGACUACAUGAAGUUGGAAUCGCUAGUAAUCGUAGAUCAGCUAUGCUACGGUAAAUACGUUCCCGGGUCU